GCAUGAGUACACCACAAAGGGAGUAAAGCAGUUCUGUGGACGCCGGGCAGCUACCUCACUAACUCCAAUGACUCUGCCUCUAGUUAGCCAAUACCCGCUACCGGGUGCAGAAAUACCUGAAUCUACACACAAGGUGCAGGGAGUAAAGUGAGUACUCCAACACAGAGAGUAAUAAUCACAACUAAAGACUGAGUGAUAAAAAAUCAUGAAAAGUUCAUUAACUUGUUGUAUAGAAGUAGUACAAACCCAGUAAGAAAGCAAUGAAGUAGUGAAAUCUCUUAAAGCAUCUUAGCUCCGUUUAAACUUCUUUAAUAGUGACCUUUUCCAUAGUUACGCAAAUUAAUAUAAAACAAUUCAGAUAGGCACAAAAAAUCUGCCUUUCGUGCAAAAAUACCCCAUUAAUCAGAUAAAUGACAGGCAAGUAAGAAAGAUAAGCACUUAAGGCUCGCCCCUCGGGCACAAUGUCAACAAAUCUGCCCCUCGGGAAAUAUCUCACAAUAAUACUAUCCCCUUGGGCAAUCACAUAGAACAAUACCAGCUCCUCCGGCUAUUUCUCACAUCAAAAUGGGUACCCGCGCUCACUGGUGAUGUGCUGACUCCUGGAGCGGCCCCUUACGGCCCAAUUGUAAUAUCAAGAAUCUUGUGGCAUCAUCUGUAGGCUCUGGCCUCAUAUCAAUAAGCCACAUCGUGGCAUACAUAACUCAGGCCCCCGGCCUCAUAAUAUAAAUCAGUGUAUCACCGCUGCAACGUGCAUCCCGACCCAAAAGAUAUCCUCGCAGCACAAGCCCUCGGCAUUACUCAAUCAAAAUUACAUAAGCCUCUCGGGCAACAGUAAAACAUAAUUCUCUGUCCAAAAUAUUUUUGAAAUAUCAUUUUAAGUGUUAAAGUAGAGUAAACAUGGCCAAGUCUAUGAAAUAAUGGAAUAUAGCAUGAGUGAAUACAAGUUUAAAGUCAAAACAGUGAGGAAAUAUCAAUAAAAAUCCUCGGAGGGUUCACAUAGUUGGCACGAGGCCCAAAUAUGGCAUUCAGCCUAAAACAUGAGGAUAGCAAAUAACUUUCAAUCAAAUACGCAGUAAAACAAUCAUUCGGGAUGGACUACGCCACAAUCCCCAAUAGUGAACAACCCUACGCUCGUCAUCUAGCGUGUCUGUCACCUCAAUAUCGCACAACAAUGUCCAAUACGGGGUUUCAUACCCUCAGAACAUCAUUUACAGUCAUUACACACCUCGAUCCUGUCCAAAUUCUAGCCCGCAAUGCCUUUGCCCGCACGAAUCGACCUCUAGAUGCUCCAAAUCUAGCCACAAUAAGAACAUAAUCAUUAAAAUAUACUAAAGAAACAAAGCCCAUUCGAAAAUAUCCAAUUCAAGUCAAAAAUCCCAAUAUUGCCCAAACUCGGCCCCCUGGCCCACGUCUUAGAAUUUGAAAAAAGUUACAUCAAUAGAAUCCUCAUCCUCACACGAGUCUAUACGUACUAAGAACAUCAAAAUCAGACAUCAAAUGCCCAUUCAAAUCCUCAAAAGAAUUUUUAACUCUUUCUUCCAUUCUUCCCCACUUUCCACUCUAAUUUCUCAAAUUAAGUGAUAAAAUUCAAGAAUAAUUCAUGGAAUUAAACCAAAUAUUAGUGAAGAUUACUUACCCCAAUAGCUCCACUGAAAAUCUCUUCAAAUUUCACCUUCUCCCGUGCUCUCCAAUGGUUUUUAUGAUAUUGGACUUAAACCCUCAAUAUUAAAAUAUAAAUUGUCUGCCCAGAUUUUCCUUCAUCGCGAACACAUUAUAUCUCUGCAUUCGCAAAGCACACUGCUUCGCAGACCAAAAUUUCCUUCUAUGCUAAUGUGAGACACACUUGCGAACGCGAAGCUUCCGCUUCCCAUACCACCGCGAACGUGGCCCUUUAAUCGCAAACGCAAAGAACAAAAGGGCUAGGACCCCAACUGCUCCAUUUACUCUAGCGAACACAGGAACCUCAUCGCAUUCGUGAAAUGCUGAGGACCUCACCCUUCAUGAACGCGGGACCAACAUCGCGAAUGCGAAUUAGCCUCAUCACGCAUCCCUUCGCGAACGCGAAGGCAAAAAGUCUGCAAUAAAAGCAACAAAAAAUCUGCAACUUUCAAAACAAAGAUGUGACCCGUUUAACCACCCGAAACUCAACCGAAGGCUCGAGACCUCAAUCAAACAUGCCAACAUAUCCCACAACCUCGUUCAUAACUUUUUCCAACCUUCGAAAUGCUCAAAACAACAUUAAAACACCAAAAGCACAUUAGAUUCAAGCCUAUGAAUUUCAAUAACUUCCAAAUUACGCUUUCGAUAAAAAAAGUCCAUCAAACCUCGUCUAAAUGACCUGAAAUUUUGAACACCCAUCAGAUAUGACAUAGCGGAGCUACUGGAACUUCCGAAAUUUCAUUCCAAUCCAUAUAUCAAAAUCUCACCUAUCAACCGGAAAACGCCAAAAUCUCAAUUCCGACAAUUCAAGCCAAAACCUUCCACAAACCUCCAAAAUGCAUUCUGAUCACGCUCUUAAGUCCCAAAUCACCUAACAGGGAUAACCAAAUCACCUGAGAAUUGUUCUUCAAAAUUCAUUCUGAUUACCUUGAAAACCAAACCAAUGAUUUACAUAAGUCCUAAUACAUCACAAGGGGCAAGUCAUGCCCGAGAACUAACGAGCCAGGUGCAAAACCUCAAAAUGACCGGUCGGGUCGUUACAUCCUUCCCCACAUAAACAUAUGUUCAUCCUCGAAUACGCCCGUAGUUGUUACAAAAUCCGACCAAUCACUGAAUAAAUUUACCAUGCAUAUACCCGUGGUUGAUCCCACAUCACCCUAUCAAAUAUAGGUCUGAGAACACAUGCAACCGAAAUUUCACAAUCCAACCUAUCCCAUAAACCUUAGAACCACAUUUCCACUCCUGAAAUCAUUCGCAAGACCAGAAUCUCAUAUCAGGUGUAAUUACAUGAUAUACCACAUAACUCAAAUGCUAGUAGUGAUAACUUCUAAUCAGAGCAGUUGCACAUAACAAUCGAAUAUCGAUAGAAAAUCUCUUACCAACUAAAGUCUCAUUCCAACACUUUUAUAUACUGCCAAUGAUAAAUGAAUCACGGAGUAAAUCAUAACCAUUUCUCAUAUCAACCAUUCAUGAAGCCACAUCUCUUUUGGCAAGGAUCAUAACAAAUUUCUGAUCCGAACCUCCGAUAUUUAUCAUUCCCAUAGGCUAAAAUUGAAUAAGUCGUAUUCAUUAAAGAUGACAACGAUCUCAUCUAAUCCAACAUCACCACUAUGGUGAAAUGACACCUCAAUACGGACUAAAGACGCAACUUGCACAAUCCGCGCACUAAUAAGAAACAACCCGAGCAUACUCAAAUUAUGUAAAUGACUCAAAUGAAAGAGUUGUACCACAAGCUCACCAGUACCACCACAACACAAGACUGAGAGCUCGUCUCACAUCAUUGAAAUAGAAACACGAAUCUAACCUGCAUGGACAUACCUCCACAUAACUUUGUUGCAAUGCGCGACCCUAUCCAAACACCGGUCCAUAUAAAACACCCCAAGUCACUCUGCUAGAAAUUGAUGACCACGCACAAUUGAUAUCUAGAACCAAAGAAAAUAAUCAUCACCACGGUGAAGCAAAUACAUAACACCACACAUCCCAAAAACAACAUAAUCGAUACACUAUCCGCCGAGCAAUACCCAAUACUCCUCGCGCUCGAGCUCCACUGAGAGACCCCAAUAACGUCGUUAUACAUUUGCCUAUAACCAACAAAUCCAAAUAUCCCGCAACACGGAAAAGUAACUCAUAUAUUUCCUCAGAACACUAAUAGGUUCAAUAACAAUCGAAUCACACAUCUCUCCGCAAUACAACUCGGAGCCCACCAAGUCUACUCAAAUUAGAACACAUAUCAACAUUGGCUUCCUAUUGUACCUCUUUUCAAGGAAACCUUGAAGCAUCUCCCUCAACACCUUUAACUAUGUUGAUGCCAUACAAUACAGUGCCCGGCAUCAAAUCAAUAUAAAAAUCAACAACUUUUCCCGGUGACAUGCCCGGCCACAAGAACACAUUCGAAAAGUCCCUCACCAGCAGAACUGAAUAAAUGGUAGGAGUUUCUACACUGACAUCCAUCACGAUAGCCCAAAUAAGAAAGACAAUCCUUCCCAGCCAUCUGCUGGGUCUUUGAAAUAUAAAACUACCCUACUAAGAACAUAAUCUAUCGAACCUCGCCACUCAGUCUGUGGCAUUCCCGGCAUAGCCAACAUCGCCUCCACAGAGCAAUAGCUCAAAAUGACACAACACUGUGACAACCUGUCUACACCAAAUAUCACAUCCAAGAUAUAAUAUACCAAGCAGCAAAAGAUGCACUUCGAUCUCCAAACCCCGAUAGCCAUUAAACAAUGCCGAUACACCCGACCCACAACCACAACAUAACCUAAAUAUGAGAACUCCUAGUCUCCGACUUCAUACAGCAUACGAAUCACCAUAUCUGAUCCCAAUUCCAGUGUCCGGAGUAUACAACACACUGCUAAUACCCAAUCAUUCCCACGAGAGAUACUCAUAUGAUUAUUUUGUGCCACCAAGCAAACCUGAAUAUCAGCAGUUGAUCCAAUAAGAAAGCGCCGCAAUACUAAUAAAGUACCCUCAACUUAAUUACAUUGCCUUUUUUUGGAACAUAUACCCUCGUCAAAUCAGCUAAAUUAGAAAUACCAUUUCCUUAAUUACCUGAAGAUCAUUCCCCUAAUCACCUGAAACUCAUUUCUCUAAUUAUCUUAAACUGCCUGUGCUGCCUAAUAAUUUUAUAAACUUCCGUUCAGAAUUGAAUCAUAACCUUACACACGCAAAUCUCAAUCCUCCGCAACACACCGCACAUACCAUACCAUCCUAGGAUAACAUGAGAACUUCAUCUCCCUUCUGAGCUACAAACAUCUACAUACUCAACUAGUCAAGAACUUUUCAUUGAUCCCAUCUAGAAGAAAAUCACUAUACAUCCCAUGCUCCUCAUUCCCAUAGAAAAUAUACAUCUCCAACCAAGGUAGAAACCAUCAAGAACUCCCCCAAUUCCCCUUGUACAAACCGGACCUGCCAGGAUUGAAUCCUUCUAAAUCGACCAAGCUACACAAGCCAUCAAAACCUAAGAGCAUUGUCGUAAAAUACCUGUAGGGACUCAUUACCCCAUACACAUACAAGGAAUAAAUCAUAUCCUUACAAUACCGAUCUGGCCUACUACUAAGCUAUCCCUUCUAUCUGAGUUUCCUUCUGAUUUGACUUCACCUUGAUACUCCUUCUUCCUAUAAUGCCACAAUUCCUCAACCAACACGAGACCCAAGCAUAAACUACACCGACUAAGGCUCAUAAGCUGCUGAAUACCCUUUUAAACGUCCAAUACUUUACUCUGAAGAGACCUCCUGCUAAUCUAAAUCCGUUACUUUCACCUUCCUGAUGCUGAUAAAUAGAAUCUCAUAGUUGAUAUAGAAAUGACACAAGUCUUGAUAUCCUCCAAAAUGCAAACCUCAGUUUCUAGCCAAAAGUACAACCUCAAAAUCUCUAAUUAUUACAUGCAAAAUCUUGAGCACAUUAGAACCAUUCUCGAGAGUCAUUUACUCAACUCGAACCGUAAUUACCCAAUCAAAAGAACCGAACAACCUGCACCUCAUUAGUACUUCUGACACUGCAGCAUAUACCUUACCUUGAUGCAACCAAGCCACUUUCUUUUCUAUUGCACCGAGCAUUCCUUCACAACAACAACUCAAUACAUUCCGUGAUUCAAAAACACCUAGAAGCAUGAUAUAACCUUACCUUAGUCGAAAAUUUUCCUUUACUCGACCCAUCCUCGAGCUCAAUCUCCGCAAACCAUAACUGAUUCACCAGCAUGCCUCAAACUGGACCAAUAUAGCACAUAACUGUGCAAUUAGAUAAUCAACAGCAAACUCCCCCACUUGGCUCGAAGCCAUGGAUAAAAGCACAAAAAAUAACUCAUUACGCAUAUACUUUAUUGUUGCCAUAAUACCAUAGAGAGAUUAACUCAAUCCUUCAUAAGCUCAUGAAACACAGACCAUCUGGUACUUCAUAUCUUCUGCAAUUCUCGCAUUCACUCUCAUAAUAAUUAAACCCAUUCUCUUAAUUGAACUAGAUUCAAAUUACAACACAUAUCUUUCACUUGAAAUUGAGAUCUUCUAACAGACAACCUAAGGAUCACACAAACACAAAACAUUUCGCAGGAGAUAACCCACCUGCUUUGCCUCAAACAGGCAUUUCUAUAUACCUUCCACCGUCAUAUUCAUCAUGCAGUCACAAUCUUCUUAAGUCUGAACUCAUAUCGCAACAUGAAAUUUACUUCACUCCUAACUAAAAAACAUGAAAAGGUUCUUCACAUGCCCAUAACUCGGGACUAUACCUCGAAUCAAGAUGGACAUCAAGCACCUAAUAGUUCUUCUAUCCUCCCGCAGAUCCUUCUCGUUGCUUCUAAAUCAUAUGAAUACAUCUCGCAGUCACAUCACAUUCAUCACGUAACUAUCCAGCCAUCACUUCUACUAAUAGGGGCACUACCGAAUAUAUAAGUCAAAAACACGGCUCUCAUAGUCACCACCUCGGUGCUCAAGCUAUAGAUAAAACUCCAGCCUCAAGUCCUCCAGACUAGCCCAACGCUAAACACACACAGAUCACAUCUCGCCCCUCGAUCAGGGAAUCACAAUCCAUCGAUGCACAUCUGACACUAAGCGCUCAUGCGCGCAUACGAACACAUGGAAAGAAUUUCAAGAGUUACUUUUCAAGCUGGAUCAAGGAUGAACAAUAAGAACUCAAGAAUGUGAGGUUUUUCCUAAAGGUUCUGCAACCUCUCGAGGAUAAAUAUAGACAUCUUUGUACCAAUCCGUAAGACUCUACUAAACCUGAUCAUGACUCAUGAGACCUAUGUAAAAUAAACUCUGAUACCAAUUUAUCCUGACCCCAACCCGGACCCGAUCGUGAUGGCGCCUCUCGUGAAGACAAGGCCAGCCGACACAAUUCCUAAUUUCACUUUUAACGGUUCAGUAACUCAAUUUAAGUCAGUUAUCAGGAUAAUCCCCAACAAGUAGAGAUUUAGCCAAAUAGAACAAGUGCGGAAAUGAAUAUAGCCCGACACCGGGGUGUCACAAGCACGAGCAUAUACUAUGGUCUAAAAUACAAUGAGAUUCUGGAAAUAUACUAAAUGAAGUCUAAUGAAAUCAAGAAGGAGUAAAGUAGUGCUGCGAACUCCGGGUAGCUAUCUCAUUAAACUCUAGUGACUUUACCUCUGCUAAGCCAAUACCUGCUACUGGGUGCAGAAAUACCUGAAUCUGCACACAAGGUGCAGGGAGUAAUGUGAGUACUCCAACUCUGUGAGUAAUAAAAAUAAAUGAAUAAUGAGUGAUAAGAAAUCACAAAAAGUGCAUCAACAUGUUGUAUAGAAGUAGUACAAAACCAGUAAAAAGCAAUGAAGCUGUGAAAACUCUUAAAGCAUCUCAGCUCAGUUUAAACCUCUUUAAAAAUGACUUUUUCCGCAGUUACACAAAUGAAAGCAAAACAAUUAGUGCAGAUAGGCACAGAAAAUCCGCCCGUUGGGCACACAUAUACAAUUAAAUAGGUAUAUGAUAGGCAAGUAAGAAAGAUAAGCACAUAAGACUCGCCCCUCGGUGCACAUUGUCAACAAAUCCGCCCCUAGCGCUAUAUCUCAGAAGAAUACUAGCCUCUCGGGUAAUCACAUAGAACAAUACCAGCCCUUCGGGCUAUAUCUCACAUCACAAUGGGUACUCGCGCUAACUUGGGUGUGCAGAAUCCUAGAGGGGCCUCUUACAGCCCAAGCGCAAUAUCAAGCAAUCUCGUGGAAUCAUCUCUAGGCUCUCGGCCUCAUAUCAACAAGCCACAUCGUUGCGUACAUAACUCAUGACCUCAGCCUUUUAAUCAAAAUUAAAGUAUUACCGUUGCGGCAUGCAGUCCAAUCCAAAGGAUAUCCAAAGAUAUAUUAAUGAUUAUGUUUUGAUUGUGGCUAGAUUUGGAGCAUCUAGAGGUCGAUUCGUGCGGGCAAAGACAUUGCGGGCUAGAAUUUGGACCGGAUCGAGGUGAGUAAUGAUUGUAAAUGAUGUUCUGAGGGUAUGAAAUCCCGUAUUGCAUAGUGUUGUGCUAUAUUGAGGUGACAAACAGGCUAGAUGACGAGCGUAGGGUCGUUCACUAUUGGGGAUUGUGGCGUAGUCCAUCCCGAAUGAUUGUUUACUGCGUAUUUGAUUGAAAAUUAUUUGAUAUCCUCAUGUUUUAGGCUGAAUGCCAUAUUUGUGCCUCGUGCCAACUAUGUGAACCCUCCGAGGAUUUUUAUUGAUAAUUCCUCACUGUUUUGACUUUAAACUUGUAUUCAGUCAUGCUAUAUUCCAUUGUUUUCAAAACUCAGCCAUGUUUACUUUGCUUUAUCACUUGAAAUUAUAUUUCAAAAAUAUUUUGGAGUGAGUAUUAUGUUUUAUUGUUGCCCGAGUGGCUUAUGUGAUUUUGAUUGAGUAAGACCGAGGGCCUGUGCUGCGAGGAUAUCUUUUGGGUCGGGCUGCACCCUGCAGUGGUGAUACACUAAUUUAUAUUAUGAGGCCGGGGGCCUGAGUUAUGUAUCCCACGAUGUGGCUUAUUGAUUGAGGUCAGAGCCUAGAGAUGAUGCCACGAGAUGCUUGAUAUUAUACUUGGAUCGUAAGGGGCCGCUCCAGAAGUCAGCACACUACCAGUGAGCGCGAGUACCGAUUUUGAUGUGAGAUAUAGCCCGAGGAGAUGGUAUUGUUCUAUGUCAUUGCCCAAGGGGAUAGUAUUAUUGUGAGAUAUUUCCCGAGGGGCAGAUUUGUUGACAUUGGGCCCGAGGGGCGAGCCUUAAGUGCUUAUCUUUCUUACUUGCCUAUCAUUUACCUAUUUAAUUGUGUAUUUGUGCCCAAUAGCGAACGACCCUACGCUCUUCAUCUAGCGUGUUUGUCACCUCGAUCCGGUCCAAUUCUAACCCACGAUGUCUUUGACCGCACGAAUCGACCUCUAGAUGCUCCAAAUCUAGCCACAAUCAAAACAUAAUCAUUAAAAUGUGCUAAAGGAACGAAUCCCACUCGAAAAUAUCCAAUUUACGUCAAAAAUCCCAAAAUUGCUCAAACCUGGCCCCGAACCCACGUCUCGGAAUCUGACAAAAGUCAUAUCAAUAGAAUCUUCGUCCUCACACGAGUCUGUACAUACCAAGAACAUCAAAAUCAGACAUCAAAUUCCCAUUCAAAUCCUUAAAAGAGUUCUCAACUUUUUCUUCCAUUCUUCCCCCAAUUUCCACUCUAGUUUCUCAAAUUAAAUGAUGAAAAUUCAAGAUUAAAUCAUGGAAUUAAACCAAAUAUGAGUGGCGAUUACUUACCCCAAUAGCUCCACUUAAAAUCUCUUCAAAUUUCACCUUUCUCCCGAGCUCUCCAAUGAUUUUUAUGAUAUUGGACUUAAACCCUCGAUUUUAAAAUAUAAAUUGUCUGCCUAGAUUUUCCUUCAUCGCGAACGCGGCAUAUCCCUCAUGUUCGCGAAGCACACUGCUUCACAGACUAAAAUAUCCUUUUAUGCGAAAGCAAGGCCCUCUUGCGAAUGCAAAGCUUCUGCUCCUCAUACCAUCAUGAACGUGACCCCUUAAUCGCGAACGCGAAGCACAAAAUGGCUAGGACCCAAGCUGCUCCAUUUACUUAAGUGAACGCGGGAACCUCAUCGCUUUUACGAAGCCUGAGGACCUUACCCUUUGCGAACGGGGGACCAACAUCGCAAACGAAAAGGCCAAAUUCUCAGCAUCAUAACACAUCACUACGCGAGCACGAAGGCCAAAAGUCUGCAACAAAAACAACAGAAAAUCCGCAACUUUCGGAACAAGGAUAUGACCGGUUUAACCACCCGAAACUCACCUGAGACACUUGGGACCUCAACCAAACAUGCCAAUAUAUCCCAAAACCUCGUGCAAACUUGUUCCAACCUUUGUAGCUACUGCAACUUCCCAAAUUCCUUUCCAAUCCCUAUAUCAAAAUCUCACCUAUCAACGGGAAAACGCCAAAAUCUCAAGUCCGCCAUUUCAAGCCUAAACCUUCCACGGACCUCCAAAAUGCAUUCUGAUCAUGCUUCUAAGUCCCAAAUCACCUAACGGGUCUAACCAAAUCACAAAAAUUCUAAUCUGGAAUCAUAUACAAACAAGUCAAAACUUGGCCAAACCUUUCAAUUUAUAAGAUUCAAAUUGAGAACUAUACUUCCAAGUUCAUUCCGAUUACCCUGAAAACCAAAAUCAACAAUUUACAUAAGUCAUAAUACAUCACACAGAGAAAGUCAUGCCCGAGAGCUAACGAUCCAGGUGCAAAAGCUCAAAACAACUGGUCAGAUCGUUACAGGGGAUCUCCCGGGAUGUCAUCCCGUAGUCCUAAAGUAAAAUACAUAGCAACACAAGAAAUACUCAAUUAAGCUCAACUUCUUACCAAUUAAACACGAAAUUCUAACCUUUCAUGCUUCACAUAAUUCAACUAUGGCAGUUUAAGCAAAUAAGCAGUUAAGUUUUAUACAUGCUUUUCCUAAGCCAACAGCAGAUUUAAUUUGAAAGUAAAAUAAAACAAGAACAAGGAACACAAUUGAAAUUACUUAAAGAAAACUAGAUUUUCAACAAUUAGCUCAAGUACACACUCAUCAUCUCACGUACAAGGCAUUUCAAUUAUCAAAUAUACCAAAUCUUAAGGUGAAGAACCCCCACACAAGGUUAGGCAAGCCGUUUACCUCGAACCAGCUCAAAAUCAAUCCGAAACCACGUCUUUCCUCGAGUACUCGACUCCAAAUGACCCAAAUCUAUUUAAUUCAAUUGCAUAUGGUAAAUAACACUUAAAGAAAAUGAUUCUAAAAUUAAAUUCUAAGCUAAUACGCAAAAUUAGGUAAAAUAACCAAAAUUCCCCUCAGGCCCACAUCUCAAAAUCAGGCGAAAUUUAUAUUUCCAAAAUCCUUAUACUCUCACGAGUCUAUGCAUAAUAAGAAUACUGAAAUCAGAGUUCAAUUGACCCCUCAAAUACCACUUUUAAAGUCUCUUAAUCUCAAGCCCUAAUUACCCUUUUUUCCAAAUUUUUCAACACUAAUUAUGUCUUUAAUCAUAUAUAAACAAGUUAUUAAGCCAAAAAUAUUACCUCCAAGUGAUCCCCUUGAAUCCUUCUUCAACCUUCUUCAAAAAGCUUCAAAAUCGCCUAAUAUGGAGGAACUUAGGCUAAAAAUCGUGGAAUAGACUUUUUAAAUUAUUCUGCCCAGGCAUUUAAAUCCUUGUUUGCGAAUAUGGACAAAGACUCGUGUUCGCGAAGCACAAAUUGACAUUGACCACUUUUUCCUACUCCGCGAAUGCGGCACCCUCAUCGCAAAUUCAUAGUUCAAAGACCCCCGCCCCUCGCGAAUGCAUCGUUCAAAGACCCCCGCCCCUUGCGAAUGCGGGACCUCCCUCGCGAACGUGAAGGCCAAACCUUCAGCUCUACAUCAUAACCCUUCGUGAACGUGGGAAAUACUUUGCAAAUGUGAAGCAUUGACCUCCCCCAUCCUAGCUGCUCUUCGCGAACGCGAGACCCCACUCGCAAAUACGAAAAAGGAAUUGUUCAUUUUCUAAGUUUGAUAUAAAUGUGAGGCCAUGAGUUAUGGAAGAUUAUUGUGGGAGAAUUAAUCCUCAUAACCACAUUGGCAAAAUAAAAUUAUUAAAGAACAAAAUUAUUGCAUGCCUUGUAGGGCCCAAACUAAUUGAUCUGAUCUUCUAUUUCCAAUUAUCACACAAUCUCGAACUCCUAUUACUUCUUUAUUUAUAAAACUGAAAUAUUGAACUAAAAUUCACUGCAUGUUCAAUAUAAUCAAACAAACGAAGGUACCGAUAUCUCAUAACUAGAAUAUGCGUACGGCAAACUUCAAUUGCCUUUGAAAUGGAUUUAUUAAUAAAUGUUAAUUUAAGCAUGACAAAUUAAAUCAAAAAAAACAACUACAGAGUAAUGUGAAUUUUUCCCCUAAUUAAAGAUGAUUCAAAUACACUAAACUCAUUCAUAGGUUAACAAAACCAUUAUAUCAUUCUAAUCACAUGUCCUUCAGUUAUUAUAAUUAACUUUUAAAAGCAAGAGAGAUAUAUCAGAUGAAACAUAAUUGAAAAUUCUGAUCUGAGGAUUGUCAGCUUCAUGGUGCAGAUGCAAAUACUAUGGAUAAACCUCAACAUCAACCAUACAUGAAUGAUGACAUUAGACAUGGAAGUAACAUGUAAUCCGUAUAUUCAAAUUAAUAUCUUAAAGGAAAUAUAUAAAGUCAUAGCUACAUACCUAUCAAUCCGAAACCAACAGGAAAGCCAAAGACCAAAUAAAGGUCAAGAAAAACCAAAUGUGAGAAUCAGCUACUAAUUAGUAGAUGUUUAACAGGAGCAAUAGUAGAAUCCACUCCAGUAAAAUCCAAAAUCAACAUCAAACCCAGAAAUCAGCCAAUAUUCCAAACGGCAAGUAGAGUUUGAACCAAUCUAGAGCGUAAAUUUAAAGUUCAAAAUCACUCCAUGCUUAAGAACAAAAAUAAAAAUAGAAUAAGUUGAUUCAAAGAAUUUUUUAUCACUGGUUAAAAAACAAAAAAAG
rnacentral:lncRNA from 1 species